rnacentral:miRNA from 1 species
UGAGGCAGGAGAAUUGCUUGAACCCAGGAGGCGGAGGUUGCAGUGAGCCGAGAUCGAACCACUGCACUCCAGCCUGGGCGACAGAGCGAGACUCCAUCUCA